AGGGUUUGAUCAUGGGCUCAGGAUGAACGCUGGCGGCGUGCUUAACACAUGCAAGUCGAACGAUGACUUCUGUGCUUGCACAGAAUGAUUAGUGGCGAACGGGUGAGUAACACGUGAGUAACCUGCCCCUGACUUCGGGAUAAGCCUGGGAAACCGGGUCUAAUACCGGAUACAACGGACCACCGCAUGGCGGUCCGUGGAAAGCUUUAUGCGGUUUUGGAUGGACUCGCGGCCUAUCAGCUUGUUGGUUGGGGUAAUGGCCCACCAAGGCGACGACGGGUAGCCGGCCUGAGAGGGUGACCGGCCACACUGGGACUGAGACACGGCCCAGACUCCUACGGGAGGCAGCAGUGGGGGAUUAUUGCACAAUGGGCGGAAGCCUUGAUGCAGCGACGCCGCGUGAGGGACGAAUGCCUUCGGGUUGUUAAACCCUCUUUUCAGCAGGGAAGAANCCGAAAGUUGACGGGU
rnacentral:rRNA from 1 species